GCCCUGAUAGUUCAGCCUGGAUAGAAUAGCACCCUCCUAAGGUGAAGGUCCCCGGUUCAAAUCCGGGUCAGGGCA
rnacentral:tRNA from 1 species